GUGCCAGCCGCCGCGGUAAUACGAAGGGGGCUAGCGUUGUUCGGAAUUACUGGGCGUAAAGGGCGCGUAGGCGGUGUGUCAAGUCAGGCGUGAAAGCCCCGGGCUCAACCUGGGAACCGCGCUUGAGACUGGCACGCUCGAGUUCGGGAGAGGAUGGUGGAAUUCCCAGUGUAGAGGUGAAAUUCGUAGAUAUUGGGAAGAACACCGAUGGCGAAGGCAGCCAUCUGGACCGACACUGACGCUGAGGCGCGAAAGCGUGGGGAGCAAACAGGAUUAGAUACCCCCGUAGUCC
rnacentral:rRNA from 1 species